GCGUGAGUGGGGUAGUGGUAACCUUAAUCGUUGCCAAAAAAGAAGCACACUCGAUUAGCCAGGGGUUCGAUUCCCUUCUCACGCA
rnacentral:tRNA from 1 species